UACAGAGGGUGCAAGCGUUGUUCGGAAUUAUUGGGCGUAAAGCGCGUGUAGGCGGCUUUGCAAGUCGGGUGUGAAAGCCCUCGGCUCAACCGAGGAAGUGCGCCCGAAACUGCCCUGCUAGAGGGCCGGAGAGGAGAUCGGAAUUCACGGUGUAGCAGUGAAAUGCGUAGAGCUCGUGAGGAAGACCGGUGGCGAAGGCGGAUCUCUGGACGGCCCCUGACGCUGAGGCGCGAAGGCUAGGGGAGCAAACGGG
rnacentral:rRNA from 1 species